rnacentral:rRNA from 1 species
UACGAAGGGGGCUAGCGUUGCUCGGAAUCACUGGGCGUAAAGCGCACGUAGGCGGAUUGCUAAGUCAGGGGUGAAAUCCUGGAGCUCAACUCCAGAACUGCCUUUGAUACUGGUGAUCUUGAGUCCGGGAGAGGUGAGUGGAACUGCGAGUGUAGAGGUGGAAAUUCGUAGAUAUUCGCAAGAACACCAGUGGCGAAGGCGGCUCACUGGCCCGGUACUGACGCUGAGGUGCGAAAGCG